rnacentral:rRNA from 1 species
CACGUGGUAUCCUGUCUGAAUAUGGGGGGACCAUCCUCCAAGGCUAAAUACUCCUGACUGACCGAUAGUGAACCAGUACCGUGAGGGAAAGGCGAAAAGAACCCCGGCGAGGGGAGUGAAAAAGAACCUGAAACCGUGUACGUACAAGCAGUGGGAGCACGCUUAGGCGUGUGACUGCGUACCUUUUGUAUAAUGGGUCAGCGACUUAUAUUCUGUAGCAAGGUUAACCGAAUAGGGGAGCCGAAGGGAAACCGAGUCUUAACUGGGCGUUAAGUUGCAGGGUAUAGACCCGAAACCCGGUGAUCUAGCCAUGGGCAGGUUGAAGGUUGGGUAACACUAACUGGAGGACCGAACCGACUAAUGUUGAAAAAUUAGCGGAUGACUUGUGGCUGGGGGUGAAAGGCCAAUCAAACCGGGAGAUAGCUGGUUCUCCCCGAAAGCUAUUUAGGUAGCGCCUCGUGAAUUCAUCUCCGGGGGUAGAGCACUGUUUCGGCAAGGGGGUCAUCCCGACUUACCAACCCGAUGCAAACUGCGAAUACCGGAGAAUGUUAUCACGGGAG